rnacentral:rRNA from 1 species
UAACGAAUCUUCCGCAAUGGGCGCAAGCCUGACGGAGCAAUGCCGCGUGUGGGAUGAAGCGUCUCUGACGUGUAAACCACUGUCAGGGGUUAGAAACAAUGAUCAACCCCAAAGGAAGUGGCGACUAACUCUGUGCCAGCAGUCGCGGUAAUACAGAGGCCACAAGCGUUAGUCGGAAUCACUGGGCUUAAAGGGUGCGUAGGCUGGUCCGCAAGCGUCUUGUGAAAGCCCUCGGCUCAACCGAGGAACAGCAGGGCGAACUGCGGAUCUUGAGGCAGGUAGGGGUCGCGAGAACAGUAGGUGGAGCGGUGAAAUGCGUAGAUAUCUACUGGAAUGCCGAUGGCGAAGGCAGCCCCCUGGGUCAACACUGACGCUCAUGCACGAAAGCGUGGGGAGCAAACAGGAUUAGAUACCCCCGUAGUCCCUGAGCGGGCUGGCAAGGCGCAU